GGCAGUUCUAGGGCAACACACCCAGGAAUUGGGCUCCCUCUUUUCUGGUUCUGGGUGCAUCACCCAAGAACCACA
rfam:Myotis lucifugus cont2.25974, whole genome shotgun sequence.